rnacentral:rRNA from 1 species
GAUCAUGGCUCAGGAUGAACGCUAGCUACAGGCUUAACACAUGCAAGUCGAGGGGCAGCAUUGGGAUAGCUGCUAUUCAGAUGGCGACCGGCGCACGGGUGAGUAACGCGUAUCCAACCUUCCUGCCAGUAGGGAACAGCCCGGCGAAAGUCGGAUUAAUGCCCUAUGUUCUUCAAUGCGGACAUCUAAGUUGAAGGAAAGAUUCAUCGCUGGCAGAUGGGGAUGCGUCCGAUUAGCUUGCCGGCGGGGUAACGGCCCACCGGGGCGACGAUCGGUAGGGGUUCUGAGAGGAAGGUCCCCCACACUGGUACUGAGACACGGACCAAACUCCUACGGGAGGCAGCAGUGAGGAAUAUUGGUCAAUGGGCGCGAGCCUGAACCAGCCAAGUAGCCGUGCAGGAUGACGGCCCUAUGGGUUGUAAACUGCUUUUAUGCGGGGAUAAAGUGACGUACGUGUACGUUUUUGUAGGUACCGCAUGAAUAAGGACCGGCUAAUUCCGUGCCAGCCGCCGC